rnacentral:rRNA from 1 species
UACUCGAGUGGCGAACGGGUGAGUAACACGUGGGUGAUCUGCCCUGCACUUCGGGAUAAGCCUGGGAAACUGGGUCUAAUACCGGAUAGGAGCCAUUUUUAGUGUGAUGGUUGGAAAGUUUUUUCGGUGUAGGAUGAGCUCGCGGCCUAUCAGCUUGUUGGUGGGGUAAUGGCCUACCAAGGCGGCGACGGGUAGCCGGCCAGAGAGGGUGGACGGCCACAUUGGGACUGAGAUACGGCCCAG